GAGAUCCAGCCACCUCCCAAGGCAGCCUGUUCCACUGUUGAAACAGUUCCUACUGUUAAGAAGGCUGGAGGUGACCUAAGUCUUGUUCCUCAAGAGAGGUUUGUGGCAGAACAACAACAAACAAACAACAACACCCUGAAGUGAGGCGGCAGCCUUGGUUUCCUUUUGCCAUUACAUUCUCCAGCAGAAAGAGGAGUUAGGUGCAUGAAUCCUGACUGCCAACCUUAGCUACUAAAUCAGCCUCUGGAAUCUGCACUUUUCUGAAAUUUGGACGUCAACCACUGUAGAACUGCAGAUCAAACUAAACAUGACACUAACAGUGCAGUCCUUUAUAUGCCUACUCACAAGUUUAAUGGGACUCCCAGCCACAAAAGACUUCCCCAUAGUAAAUCCGAGUUCACGUGGGUAACUGAUCAAGACCUGACAGAUACAGAGAGGUGAAAAAUGUGCUUGGGAUUCCAGUCCUCUGAAAACCAUUCUUU